rnacentral:rRNA from 1 species
GGUGGUUUGUCGCGUUGUUCGUGAAAACCGGGGGCUUAACCCUCGGCGUGCGGGCGAUACGGGCAGACUGGAGUACUGCAGGGGAGACUGGAAUUCCUGGUGUAGCGGUGGAAUGCGCAGAUAUCAGGAGGAACACCGGUGGCGAAGGCGGGUCUCUGGGCAGUAACUGACGCUAAGGAGCGAAAGCGUGGGGAGCGAACAGGAUUAGAUACCCUGGUAGUCCACGCCGUAAACGGUGGGUACUAGGUGUGGGUUUCCUUCCUUGGGAUCCGUGCCGUAGCUAACGCAUUAAGUACCCCGCCUGGGGAGUACGGCCGCAAGGCUAAAACUCGAAGGAAUUGACGGGGGCCCGCACAAGCGGCGGAGCAUGUGGAUUAAUUCGAUGCAACGCGAAGAACCUUACCUGGGUUUGACAUGCACAGGACGGCGCUAGAGAUAGUGCUUCCCUUGUGGCCUGUGUGCAGGUGGUG